rnacentral:rRNA from 1 species
GACGAACGCUGGCGGCGUGCCUAACACAUGCAAGUCGAACGAAAAGGCUCUGUUUUUGUUCGUCGCUCGAGCGGUGAUCGGGUGUGUAACACGUGAGUAACAUGCCCUUGACUUUGGGAUAACUCCAGGAAACUGGGGCUAAUACCGGAUAGCAGCUCCUGCUGCAUGGUGGGGGUUGGUAAGAUUCGGCGGUUGGGGAUGGACCCGAGGCGUAUCAGCUUGUUGGUGGGGUAGUGGCUUACCAAGGCUUUGAGGGGUAGCCGGCCUGAGAGGGGGACCGGCCCCAUUAGGAUGGGGAUGAGACCCGGACUCGAACGGGAGGCAGCGGUGGAGAGUAGUACACAAUAGGCGGGAGGCAGAUGCAACGACGCCGCGUGGGGGAUAGCGGGCUUCGGGUUGUAAAGUGAUUUCGCAUGAGAAGAGGAGAGAGUGACGGUAAUUGAUCAAGAAGCCCCGGCUAACUACGUG